GCCCGGGUGGCGAAAUUGGUAGACGCAGGGGAUUCAAAAUCCCCCGGUGGCAACACCGUGUCGGUUCGAGUCCGACCCCGGGCA
rnacentral:tRNA from 1 species